GGCCGACAAUGAUCAAAGACUGC
rnacentral:siRNA from 1 species